GAAAUUGACAGAAGAGAGUGAGCACACAGAGGGACUUGGUAUAGCUCUAUACUAUUGCUUUUGCGUGCUCAUUUCUCUUUCUGUCAGUUUC
rnacentral:pre_miRNA from 1 species